GAGGUUGUGGCUCAGCGGUAGAGCGCCCACCUAGAACAUGGGAGGCCCUGGGUUCCACCCUCAGCACCACA
rnacentral:tRNA from 1 species